UACGUAGGGUCCGAGCGUUGUCCGGAAUUAUUGGGCGUAAAGAGCUCGUAGGCGGUCUGUCACGUCGGCUGUGAAAUCCCGAGGCUCAACCUCGGGUCUGCAGUCGAUACGGGCAAACUAGAGUAUUGCAGGGGAGACUGGAAUUCCUGGUGUAGCGGUGAAAUGCGCAGAUAUCAGGAGGAACACCGGUGGCGAAGGCGGGUCUCUGGGCCGAUACUGACGCUGAGGAGCGAAAGCGUGGGGAGCGAACAGG
rnacentral:rRNA from 1 species